GGGGAUGUGGCUCAGUAACAGAGCAUUUGCAUGCAUAAGGCCUGGGUUCCAUUCCCAGCAUUGCAA
rnacentral:tRNA from 1 species